rnacentral:snoRNA from 1 species
GGUUGUGUAUGAUGAUAUCAUAAAUUCAAUACAGUUAUCCCUGUCUGAUAAAUCUUGAUUGCAUGAAAUUGAUCUGACACAAAC